rnacentral:rRNA from 1 species
UAGGUCUAAUCUGCUCAGUGAUUAUUUAAAUAGCUGCAGUAUUUUGACUGUACAAAGGUAGCAUAAUCAUUUGUCUUUUAAUUGGAGGCUUGUAUGAAUGAUUGGACGAGAAAUAAUCUUUCUUUAUUUAAUAAUUUUGAAUUUAAUUUUUUAGUUAAAAAGCUAAAAUUUAUUUGUAAGACGAGAAGACCCUAUAGAAUUUUAUUUUGUUUUUUAUAUUUUAUUUUAUUUUUAAAGUAGAUUAUUUUUAGCAAAAUUUGGUUGGGGUGACUGUGAAAAUUUAUUAACUUUCAUUUUUAUGUUUCAUAAAUUAAUGUUUAUAUUGAUCCUGUUUUAUAGAUUAAAAGAUUAAAUUACCUUAGGGAUAACAGCGUAAUUUUUUUGGAGAGUUCUUAUCGAUAAAAGAGUUUGCGACCCUCGAUGUUGGAUUAAAGUAAGAUUUUGGUGCAAGUGCUAAAAUUNCUAGGUCUGUUCG